GUUGGCUUAGAAGCAGCCAUCAUUUAAAGAGUGCGUAAUAGCUCACUAGUCGAGUGACACUGCGCCGAAAAUGUACCGGGGCUAAACAUAUUACCGAAGCUGUGGAUUGUCCUUUGGACAAUGGUAGGAGAGCGUUCUAAGGGCGUUGAAGCAUGAUCGUAAGGACAUGUGGAGCGCUUAGAAGUGAGAAUGCCGGUGUGAGUAGCGAAAGACGGGUGAGAAUCCCGUCCACCGAUUGACUAAGGUUUCCAGAGGAAGGCUCGUCCGCUCUGGGUUAGUCGGGUCCUAAGCUGAGGCCGACAGGCGUAGGCGAUGGAUAACAGGUUGAUAUUCCUGUACCACCUAUAAUCGUUUUAAUCGAUGGGGGGACGCAGUAGGAUA
rnacentral:rRNA from 1 species